rnacentral:lncRNA from 1 species
AUUCUCUUUGGGGAGGGGAGGAGAAUUUAGUUAGUGAAGUGUUUUGCUAGCUCUUUGGAUUACUGCAACUAGUUUUGAUAACCAGUAUUGAAGUCGUACAGGAACAGACUGGGAAUAUUAUGAACUGACAUUAAUACGUUAAUUUUUUGCAGGAAAGCUGCGUUUUCUUGAGUCUACAUAAAAAAUGCUGAAGACCAAAAGUAACCGUAAUUGAUUUUAACUGAUCACUAAAAGCACGGACUGUCUAUAAUGUAAGUGUGGAUUAUGUGACGAUCACACGCAAUGUGGGAAAUCUUGUGACUAAUAGAUGUGUAAAUAUAACUACAAAUUAGCAAGUGCUACGUGGUGAGGUAUGUACAGAAAAGACCAGUAAGCGUUAAUUUCGAGAUAAGGGAAAAGCAGAGAGAGAGAGAGCAGAAUUAGUAAGUAAAAAGACAAUAGGAUUUACUCCUAAAAUCGCAUUUAAUUGAAAAAGCUGUGAACAUUCUUCCACUCGGCUACACUGAUAGUGACUAUAUUAGACUACAUUUUACAAUUUGACUACUAAUUACAGUAACAAUUUGGACCCCAAUGGAGCUAUUCACUGAACCAAUAACUGUGAAGAAUUGUCAAGGGAAUUGUACAUUUUAGGCGACACUAUUUAUCUGGAAUUAUUUUGUAACUGUAUUUCUGUAUUUUAGGUUCUUCUAUUUCUGGCCUUACGCUGCACUUCUCUCAUCAAUUCUUCAGUUGUUUAUUUAUUGACUCAGCCCCAGUGAUAUCACAUAAGUGGAGCGGUAAAGGUCAAUCCCAGCAUUGUUUCUUUUUAAACAUGGUUAAUUUAUUGCAAAACAUUUGUUACAGUAUUUUGCUGGUAUUUACUUGCUAUUCAUUUUAUGACAAGAUAGAAAAGAAGUAUGAAAUGAUGAAGUAUAGACGUAAAGGGAUACUAUAGUCACCAGAACAUCUACAGCUUAAGUAGUUGCUCUGCUGAGUGUAGUCAGUUCUGGUGGGCAUUUUGCUCUAGGUCUUUUCAGAGAAAAUGCAGUGUUUUCAUUACAGCCUAGGAACACCUCCACUGGCCACUGGUCAGAUGGCUACUAGAGGUACUUCCUGGAGCAGUGCUGCGCAAUCUGCUGCACUGCCAUUCAGUGUCUUCACCCUCUGCAUGGAGACACUGAACUUUCCUCAUAGAUAUGCAUUAAUUCCACUCAUCUCUAUGAGGAGAUGCUGAUUGGCCAGGGUGGCAUUUGGCACCACCCCUGGUCCACCUACUUGGCUGAGAUCAUCAGAAUUAACAAUCUCACAUUUCACAAAUUCCUAUGGGAAAUCAUUGUGAUUCGCUAAGAUCAUCGUUUCUGAUCAUGCCAGCCAAGGAGGCAUAUCGGGGCAGAGCAAGCCGGCUGACGAGGGUCAUCAGAGCUGGACUGAGGUAAGUGACAUAAGUGGUUUUUAACCCGAGGGAAGGGGAAGCUAUAGUGCCAGGAAAACAACUUUGUUUUCCUGGCACUAUAGUUUCUCUUUAAAGAAAGAGUUAGUCUAACAAACUCCCUUCUCUGGUGUUCGGUUGUCCGUGACCCUCAUUCGUCUCACGAACGGAUUGUGUAUGGUCCCCCCUUGUUAUACCUUUCGAACGCUGACCUCCCAUGGCUGUUAACCACAAAUUGUUGAUUAACCUGAGUGCUUCCCUGUGUGGCCGCCAUUCGUAUAUCCGAACGCAUAUGGUCCACUGCAGGGUGGCCAGUUUGUCUCCAAAAUGCUGGCAGUGGUACCUGGUCGUUGAAUGCCUGGAACUAUUUUCGGCCUUGCGUUUCCGCAAACCCGGGCAAAUAUGGUACCUCUGACCCUCCCACUUCCCGACUAACUAGACGAACGGUGUUUGGGAGAUAGGAUCUAUUGAACAGGGGGAGCAAUUGCCCCCUAACAGCCAGGGGGAGCAUUCAUAGGUGUUCAUAUGAAAACCCCCUAAAGAUUACUGGUUGUUGCCUUGUUUUCUAUGGAACUAUUUUGGGGCAUCAACUCGUGGCCGACCAGUCAAAACUUCAUGCAAAUGGCGUUCCCGAAACCCCAAAGGGAUCUGAGCACUUUUUUUGACAAAGUGGGCGCUCAGACCCAUGCAAUUUGGUGAUAUGGCUUUUGUGGGGUUCCUAUGUUAUUAAAAUGUAUUUUUAAUGAUGUUUUAUAAUAUUGUAUAUGUUUCCUGUAUCUGAGAGAUAAUUGAGUUGUAGUUUUCUCAUGCAGUUAUCUCUCAGAAAUAGAGACUCCUGGGAGGAAAACCCUUUAAUUCUUGAUGUGGAGACCCCAUGCUAGGGGUCAGUGCAUACAAGCACUGACCAGAAUGUGUGUGGCCAGAAUAAAAUCAGUUGUACUCCCAAAACUGUGUCAUCCAGGUGGGCUUUCUUGUUCCUGAAUUCCUGAUCAAAGCAGAGGGAGAGUCCUGGUGAGGACAGUUAGCAUAGUAAAAAUAGCUGUGAAGCUAUAAUGCAGGACAAUUUCAGGGAAAAGGCAGUGUUUACAUUACUGCCUAGGAACCCCUGCAGUGGCAGUCACUCAGACUGCCACUAAAGGAGAUUCCUGGGUCAGUACUCCACAAUUCCCAUAGAGAUGCAUUGAUGCUUGAUAAACAUUUAAUUGGCUGAGAAUGUAAAGUUUGAUGAUCUCAGCCAACGGGGCAGAGCAUGGGUGGGGCCAGCCACUACCUGACCCGUGAGGCGGGCCGAGGGCACUAAACAGCUAUUUAGACAUAUAAUGUCAGGAAUAAACAUUUGUAUUCCUGACACUAUAGUGUUCCUUUAAGCUAAAGUUGUUUUGGUGGUUAGAGUGUCCCUUUAACACUAG